CUGUAGUCUGCCUUGGCUUAAAAAAAAACUCUGAUGACAGUGCUUUCAGUGAGUAGAGGUUGACAUGUAUUUUAUUUAUUUUUUUAUUUUUUCAAAUUGGGUCUCUCAGAGUGGGUGACAUAGCACCCAUGAAGUGGUAAUUACAGGCUUUGCCAAAGGCAGUCAAAACAUUCAUUGCUGCCACCAUGGAAAAUGUCAACUUUUACUAAUGCAUGAAGGUACUGGAUUGUGUUCUCUGACUCAACUUCAACUACUUUAAUCUAAUUUAUUUCUGUACCCUUUUUAUUCCCUUUUCUCUUCCUCUUUCCGGGACCUCAUGCAACUCUCCUCUCCGACUUCUCUCACUUUUGACUUCCGACCUCUUUUGACCUCACACCUGCUCAGAUGGUCUUCCCUAAGAUAAAUCAUGGCUUUCUUUCUGCUGAUCAGCAACUCAUUAAACGUCGACUCAUUAAGGGUGACCAGGGUCAAGCAGGGCCCCCAGGGCCUCCUGGACCUCCAGGUCCCCCGGGCCCCAGGGGACCCCCAGGGGACACAGGAAAAGAUGGUCCUCGGGGAGUCCCAGGGCUCCCUGGAGACCCUGGAAUGCCAGGAGAGACUGGUCAAAUGGGACCUGAGGGCCCUCCAGGACAUAAGGUACUGUACAGUUGAAGUAAUCAACAUUUCACAAAUCAUGGAAAACUAUUUCAGCUUAAGAAGAUAUUGUUUAGAAACAAUAUUGUUUAUUUGUCUGUUUGAAAGAAAUUAAUACUUUUAUUUUCAGCAAGGAUGCAUUAAAUUGAUCGUAAGUGACAGUUAAGACUUGUGGAUUGUUACAAAACAUUCUACUUCAAAUAAAUGCUGUUCUUUUGAACA
ensembl:lncRNA